rnacentral:rRNA from 1 species
UGGGGAAUAUUGCACAAUGGGGGAGACCCUGAUGCAGCGACGCCGCGUGAACGAAGAAGGUAUUCGUAUCGUAAAGUUCUGUCCUAUGGGAAGAUAAUGACAGUACCAUAGAAGAAAGCUCCGGCUAAAUACGUGCCAGCAGCCGCGGUAAUACGUAUGGAGCGAGCGUUGUCCGGAAUUAUUGGGCGUAAAGGGUACGCAGGCGGUUUAAUAAGUCGAAUGUUAAAGAUCGGGGCUCAACCCCGCAAAGCAUUGGAAACUGAUAAACUUGAGUAGUGGAGAGGAAAGUGGAAUUCCUAGUGUAGUGGUGAAAUACGUAGAUAUUAGGAGGAAUACCAGUAGCGAAGGCGACUUUCUGGACACAAACUGACGCUGAGGUACGAAAGCGUGGGGAGCAAACAGG